rnacentral:miRNA from 1 species
GGGCAAGUCAGCCUGGCUACC